rnacentral:lncRNA from 1 species
CAAAUCACACACAGAAGAGAAAAUAGCACAGUCAGUAAAAAAGGGGGAUAAAACAUUUUUAGAUACAUAAAUGAGAAAAGAAAAGUAAAACAAGGAUUAGUUAGAUUAAAAACAAAAGAAGGAAGGUAUGUAGAAGAGGAUAAAGGUCAGGCUGACUGCCUCAAUUAAUAUUUUUGUUCUGUAUUUACAGAAGGAAAGGGACCUCAGUUGAGAAAAAGGAUAAAUGAGUCAUUUAUUACACGUGAGUUUACAGAGGAAGAGGUUCUAUUUCAACUGUCAAAAGUAAAGACAAAUAAGUCAAUGGGACCUG